AUGCAAGUCGAACGGAACUUAGUCGAAUGUUAACCAGGAGACGAAAGUUAGUGGCGGACGGGUGAGUAACACGUGAGCAACCUACCUUAGAGAGGGGGAUAACAUUGAGAAAUCAGUGCUAAUACCGCAUAAAGCUAUUAGUUCGCAUGGACAAGAUAGCCAAAGGAGAAAUCCACUCCGAGAUGGGCUCACGGCUGAUUAGCCAGUUGGCGGGGUAACGGCCCACCAAAGCGAUGAUCAGUAGCCGAGCUGAGAGGCUCAACGGCCACAUUGGGACUGAGAGACGGUCCAAACUCCUACGGGAGGCAGCAGUGGGGAAUAUUGGGCAAUGGGCGAAAGCCUGACCCAAGCAACGCCGCGUGAGUGAAGAAGGCCUUCGGGUUGUAAAGCUCUGUUAUAGUUGACGAAGGAAGUGACGGUAGGCUAUAAGGAAGCCCCGGCUAACUACGUGCCAGCAGCAGC
rnacentral:rRNA from 1 species